rnacentral:sRNA from 1 species
AUUAUUUUUGUAACAGAUUAAAUUUUAUAUCAUUUUUGGUUUUUGACAGAAUUAUAGAGAUUACAUGAAACAGAUUAAAACAAUCUACAGAAAAUAAAUACAAUAUUACUACUUAAAUUCCUACGGAUCGCUUCUAAGCGUUUAAGACCAAGUUACGAGAUGAAACACCGAUUCCGAACUCGCGAAACUCGGAAAUUUGCGUGGUUGCCACCGAUGAGAAGCACUGGAAUCCUCAUCUUAGUUGCCACAAGCUAAACUAUUCGAGGCUCGUCCACAAAACCUCGAGAUAGAAGCCUACAGCUUCUCCGAAAACUAACGCAAAAACGUACAAGCAAAACCAUGGACU